GGUCGCGAGUUCGAGCCUCGUUUCCCGCUCCAAGCCCGAGUGGUGGAAUCGGUAGACACAAGGGAUUUUCAAUUUU
rnacentral:tRNA from 1 species